UUCUUCUAAAAGUUCCAUCUCUUGGCAGACAGAUUGCAACUACAAGCUAUUUUGCUCUUACUGAAGCUGGGCCUUCAAAUAAACUCUUGAAUCCAUGAUUUUGUUGCAGAGCAUCCCUAUAUCUUUUUUUUUUUUCAAUAGUUAUGUGAAUACUAAAGAUGCUGAAUAAAUAAAGGAAAUAUGCGUCUAUAUGUUGUUUA